rnacentral:rRNA from 1 species
UCAAUGGGCGAGAGCUUGAACCAGCCAAGUAGCGUGCAGGAUGACGGCCCUCCGGGUUGUAAACUGCUUUUAGUUGGGAAUAAAAAAAGGGACUUGUCCCUUCUUGUAUGUACCUUCAGAAAAAGGACCGGCUAAUUCCGUGCCAGCAGCCGCGGUAAUACGGAAGGUCCAGGCGUUAUCCGGAUUUAUUGGGUUUAAAGGGAGCGUAGGCGGAUUGUUAAGUCAGCGGUUAAAGGGUGUGGCUCAACCAUGCAUUGCCGUUGAAACUGGCGAUCUUGAGUGCAGACAGGGAUGCCGGAAUUCGUGGUGUAGCGGUGAAAUGCUUAGAUAUCACGAAGAACUCCGAUCGCGAAGGCAGGUGUCCGGGCUGCAACUGACGCUGAGGCUCGAAAGUGUGGGUAUCAAACAGGAUUAGAUACCCUGGUAGUCCACACAGUAAACGAUGUAUACUCGCGGUUUGCGAUAGAUUGUAAGCCGCCAAGCGAAAGCAUUAAGUAUACCACCUGGGGAGUACGCCGGCAACGGUGAAACUUAAAGGAAUUGACGGC